rnacentral:rRNA from 1 species
GUGCCAGCCGCCGCGGUAAUACGGAGGGCGCAAGCGUUGUUCGGAAUCACUGGGCGUAAAGCGCGUGUAGGCGGCUUGGUAAGUCGGGUGUGAAAGCCCGGAGCUCAACUCCGGAACUGCACUCGAAACUGCCUCGCUCGAGUCCCGGAGAGGGUGGUGGAAUUCCCGGUGUAGAGGUGAAAUUCGUAGAUAUCGGGAGGAACACCAGUGGCGAAGGCGGCCACCUGGACGGUGACUGACGCUGAGACGCGAAAGCGUGGGGAGCAAACAGGAUUAGAUACCCCCGUAGUCC